UGAGGUUACUUUGUGAAAUAUUCCUUAGGUC
rnacentral:piRNA from 1 species